AUUGAACGCUGGCGGCAGGCCUAACACAUGCAAGUCGAGCGAGCGGCGGACGGGUGAGUAAAGUCUGGGAGACAGACUGAUGGAGGGGGACAACUCCUGGAAAAGGUAGAUAAUACCGCAUACCAUCGGAUGUGCCCAGAUGGGAUUAGCUAGUUGGUGGGGUAAAGGCUCACCUAGGCGACGAUCCCUAGCUGGUCUGAGAGGAUGACCAUCCCCACGUGAACUGAGACACGUUCAUGACGCCUACGGGAGGCAGCCGGGGGGCAUAUUGCACAAUGGGCGCAAGCCUGAGGAAGCCAGGCCGCGUGUAUGAAGAAGGCCUUCGGGUUGUAAAGUACUUUCAGCGGGGAGGCGUUACCCGCAGAAGAAGCACCGGCUAACUCCGUGCCAGCAGCCGCGGUAAUAC
rnacentral:rRNA from 1 species